CCUACGGGUGGCAGCAGUGGGGGAUAUUGGACAAUGGGGGGAACCCUGAUCCAGCGACGCCGCGUGAGUGAAGAAGUAUUUCGGUAUGUAAAGCUCUGUCAGCAGGGAAGAAAGAAAUGACGGUACCUGACCAAGAAGCCCCGGCUAACUACGUGCCAGCAGCCGCGGUAAUACGUAGGGGGCAAGCGUUAUCCGGAAUUACUGGGUGUAAAGGGAGCGUAGACGGUUAAGUAAGUCUGGAGUGAAAGGCCGGGGCUCAACCCCGGGACUGCUCUGGAAACUAUUUAACUUGAGUGCGGGAGAGGUAAGCGGAAUUCCUAGUGUAGCGGUGAAAUGCGUAGAUAUUAGGAAGAACACCGGUGGCGAAGGCAGCUUACUGGACUGUAACUGACGUUGAGGCUCGAAAGCGUGGGGAGCAAACAGGAUUAGAUACCCCAGUAGUC
rnacentral:rRNA from 1 species